rnacentral:lncRNA from 1 species
CUUAUUAGAGAAGAAAGAUAAUAUUUUUAGCUUAAGAAAAACAAUAUAAAAUAGACAUUUCAUAAAAGCAUAUUUAAAUGCACCUACAUUGUUAUUUUAUUCCUGUGUUCCAUAAUUGUUAAGUCUAGUUUCCCAGCGCAGAUGAUCUAUCAUAUAAAUUGACUUGGAAUAUAAUUGAUGUUCUCCUCAUAUCAGUAUACUUCAAUUUAUGUUUUAGCCAUUAAAAAUAUAUAUUCAGCAUUUCUGCGCUGAUUAAAUACUAUAAUAAAUCUGAUUUUACUGAAAAAGUCAAUGCAAAUUUAUUUUUUAAAAUUGUAAUAUAUUAGUUGUCUCUGAAAUUUUUUUUAUAAUCAUUUGAACAUUUGAAAAGCAGACAAAGCAAAAAUACAGACUAAGGAAAUAUCUGUAUUAUUCUUUGAGUAUUUUGGUAAACUGUUUCUGUGAACACUUUUAUAAAUAAACUCUUUACCCUUCCUGGGAGCCUUGCAAUUGUGACUGACAGUUUUCUUAGUGUGUCCGGAAUUGGUGGGUUCUUGGUCUCAGUCACUUCAAGAAUGAAGCCACAGACCCUCACGGUGAGUGUUACAGUUCUUAAAGGCAGCGUGUCUGGAGUUUGUUCUUUCUGACGUUCGGAUGUGUUCGGAGUUUCUUCCUUCUGCUGGGUUCGCGGUCUCACUGGCUAAGGAGUAAAGCUGCAGACCUUCACGACUUGGAGUCUUGCUUUGUUGCCUGAGCUGGUCUCGACCUCCUGGCCUCAAACAAUCCUCCUUCGUCCGCCUCCCAAAACACUGGAAUUACAGCUGCAAUUGGGAUUUUCAAGCUGACCCCCAUCUGGUAGGAUGAUGAUGCCUUCUGGAAGAUUCUCGACAGAGCCCAAAUGACCAACAGAGUAGGUCAAAAGCAGAAGGACAGAUGAUAAAAUGCCAAAAAAGGGAGUUUCAACCAGACAAGAGUUUAGGAGAGUAUUUUGAUGGAAAGAAGAUAGCAACCAUAGGACUCGGUUGUAGACAUCCAGAAGAUGGUGCAAAACAGUAGCUGCAUUUCAGCAGAAGCCCAAUGGAUGUGGAAAACAAUGGCUUAACAGAGGUAACAGGCUGCCAUGAGCUUCAUAAAAACAAAUUCAUGACACUAAUUGACUUAUUUAAUAUGAGAAGAAUCAAGAUUUUCACACUCAAGUUGAGGACAUACUUAAAUUAGCCAACCAAAUAAAGGUAUGUAAUACAACAAUACCCUUUUUGGAAGCUAGGGAAGCAGUAUUUUUUACUGGUAGAGAUCAAAAAAUUUUCCCUAAGUGAGUGUUGUAUACUUUGUGAAUGUGUGAAUAUAUGAAUGAGUCAGAGGGCAAGUCUUUAGGAAUUUUCUUUGUAACUCUGAGUAAAACAGUAGUGUCAAUAUUCCCUUGGGUUAAUGUAAGCAGAUCUGCUAUUAAUACUAGGCAAAAAAAGGAAAUAAUUCUUGAACUUUCUCAUAUUUUAUAUAUUAUGGUAAAUUAUGCUGAAUGAAUUUUAAAAAUUAGUAAUUGUGAAAUGUAAAUUUAAUUUUCUUAAAAUAUAUCAGGACUAUACUAUAGUUUAAAAUUCAUGAAAAAUUAUAAGAAGUUUACAUUUAUUGACAAAAAUUAAAACUAUAGAACUCUUGAAUCACCAAACCUAAUUUCAUACUUCGGCGAUAAUUCUGUGUGAACAGUAUUUCCAAAGAGAUGAAUUAAUGUAUGUAGCCUAUUAAAGUUCCUUGUGAGAGUGAGAUAAUUCUAUAAAUACAUAAAGAAGUUUAUAAUUAAACAAAACAACUUUCAUUAUAUAUUGACACUGCAUGAUUAAUAACUGCUUUCUAAAUUUGUGAUGCUUACUAUAUAUACUUGUAUUACAUUUCAAAUAUUAACAUAAUUUUCUCAACAUAUAUUUAAACAUGUGUUUUCUAUAAGAUACAUGCUAGAUAGUGUAAGUCUCUACAUGAAGCCGAAACUGUAGAACCUUCUCCUUUUAGGGAAUUUAUACUACAAUUUUAGACUGCCUUCUGAUGUUAAUUUAAACUUAUUUCAAAUAGAAUACUUAAUUAGUAAAACAAAUCCAACUCUACAGCAUGUUUGGAUGAAAAAACAAUAAAGACUGCAUCCAGAGAAAAAACACCCAAUAUAGAAAACAACAAUUUUAUAUAUCUUUCUCUACUUAUAUUCUUACCAUUCUGUUUUAUAAUUCCAAGUUGGAUCUAUUUCUGUACUCAAAAACAGAAUAGUAUUUGCCACUCUUCAAAGACAGGAUGCUUUUUUAGAAAUUUGUGUCUUUUUUUCAUAUGGUUUUCUCUUUCCGUCUUCCACCUAUUAAACAUAGAUAGCAUUCAAUACCUUGGUUAAGUAUGAUAUUUUAUGUGAAGCUUUCUGUGACCAUAAAAGAUCAUUAAAUUUCUUCCUCCUUUGAAUUUUAUAUAUUUGCG